CUAAUACUCCCUCCGUCCGGAAUUACUUGUCGCAAAAAUGGAUAAAAUAGAUGUAUCUAGAUCUAAAAUAUGUCUAGAUACAUCCAUUUCUCCGACAAGUAUUUUCGGACGGAGGGAGUACAAC
rnacentral:pre_miRNA from 1 species